UACGUAGGGUGCAAGCGUUGUCCGGAAUUAUUGGGCGUAAAGAGCUCGUAGGCGGUUUGUCGCGUCUGCUGUGAAAACCCGAGGCUCAACCUCGGGCCGCAGUGGGUACGGGCAGACUAGAGUGCGGUAGGGGAGAUUGGAAUUCCUGGUGUAGCGGUGGAAUGCGCAGAUAUCAGGAGGAACACCAAUGGGCGAAGGCAGAUCUCUGGGCCGUAACUGACGCUGAGGAGCGAAAGCAUGGGGAGCGAACAGG
rnacentral:rRNA from 1 species